rnacentral:rRNA from 1 species
AUUGAACGCUGGCGGCAGGCCUAACACAUGCAAGUCGAACGAGUGGCGGACGGGUGAGUCAUGUCUGGGAAACUGCCUGAUGGAGGGGGAUAACUACUGGAAACGGUAGCUAAUACCGCAGCCCAUCGGAUGUGCCCAAAUGGGCUUAGCUAGUAGGUGGGGUAAAGGCUCACCUAGGCGACGAUCCCUAGCUGGUCUGAGAGGAUGACCAGCAACCCGGGGACUGGUACACGGUCCAGACUCAUACGGUAGGCAGCAGUGGGUAAGAUUGCACAAUGGGCCGAAGCCUGAUGCAGCCAUGCCGCGUGUAUGAAGAAGGCCUUCGUGUUGUAAAGUACUUUCAGCGGGGAUGCGUUACCCGCAGAAGAAGCACCGGCUAACUCCGUGCCAGCAGCCGCGGUAAUAC